rnacentral:rRNA from 1 species
AUUGAACGCUGGCGGCAUGCCUUACACAUGCAAGUCGAACGGCAGCGGGGACUUCGGUCCGCCGGCGAGUGGCGAACGGGUGAGUAACGUAUCGGAACGUACCUUUCAGUGGGGGAUAACGUAGCGAAAGUUACGCUAAUACCGCAUAUUCUGUGAGCAGGAAAGCAGGGGAUCGCAAGACCUUGCGCUGAUUGAGCGGCCGAUAUCAGAUUAGCUAGUUGGUGAGGUAAAGGCUCACCAAGGCGACGAUCUGUAGCGGGUCUGAGAGGAUGAUCCGCCACACUGGAACUGAGACACGGUCCAGACUCCUACGGGAGGCAGCAGUGGGGAAUUUUGGACAAUGGGGGCAACCCUGAUCCAGCCAUGCCGCGUGAGUGAAGAAGGCCUCGGUGUAAG